GACGAACCGUGCGAACGUUGUUCGGAAUCACUGGGCUUAAAGGGCGCGUAGGCGGUCAGGUCAGUCCCGUGUGAAAUCCCUCGGCUCAACUGAGGAACUGCACGGGAAACUGCCUGGCUUGAGUUCGGGAGAGGGAAGCGGAAUUCCGGGUGUAGCGGUGAAAUGCGUAGAUAUCCGGAGGAACACCGGUGGCGAAGGCGGCUUCCUGGACCGACACUGACGCUGAGGCGCGAAAGCUAGGGGAGCAAACGGG
rnacentral:rRNA from 1 species